rnacentral:rRNA from 1 species
UACGUAGGCAGCGAGCGUUGUUCGGAGUUACUGGGCGUAAAGGGUGUGUAGGCGGUUGUUUAAGUUUGGUGUGAAAUCUCCCGGCUCAACCGGGAGGGUGCGCCGAAUACUGAAUGACUAGAGUACGGGAGAGGAAAGUGGAAUUCCUGGUGUAGCGGUGAAAUGCGUAGAUAUCAGGAGGAACACCGGUGGUGUAGACGGCGUUUCUUGGACCGUAACUGACGACUGAGACACGAAAGCCAGGGGAGCGAACGGG